AGGACCGUCAACAGAGCUUCUUACCACGACAAUUUGGACAAGUAAACAAGUACAUGCGACACUGCGUUCUGCCUUUCAUUCUUGGACAUUUCUGGACAUUUGUUAACUUGGAAUAUUCACUGGAAAGAACAUUUGCCUGAUUGAUCAACUCUGUUUCCCCAUCCUCGAGCCGUCACCUUAUCGUGGUGGAGGGGUUUGUGUGUCUCGAUGAUCCGAGGAGCUGCAUAUUCUGGGUCUUCGUGCCCCUCGUAGGGUCACCCAUACUAAAAGGUCAUAUUGGAUCUUGGUUUCCCUUGCCCGGACAUGGGUCAUCGGGGCCCCCCUCUGGAGCCAGGCCUGGAGGUGGGGCUCGAAGGCGAACGGCUGGUGGCCGGGUCUGCAUCCAUGGGGCUCGGCUGGGCACAGCCCGAAAGGAUAACAUGGGUCCCCCUUCCCAUUGGCUCACCACCUGUGUGAGGGGCCAUAGGGCUCGGGUGCAAUGUGAGCUGGGCGGUGGCCAAAGGCAAGACCUUGGCGAUCCAAUCCCUGUCUACAGAAACUAGUUCUAGGGACAUGGAAUGUCACCUCUCUGGCUGGGAAGGAUCCCAAGUUGGUGCGUGAGGUUGAGAAGUUCCGACUAGAUAUUGUCCAACUCGCCUCUACGCACACGUGGCUCUGGUUCCACUCCUCUUGAGAGGGGUUGGAUUCUGUAACACUCUGGAGUUGCCACAGGGCGAAACACCGAGCAGGUGUGGGUAUACUUAUUGCCCCCCGGCUCAGGGCCUGUAUGUCGGGGUUUACCCCAGUAGAUGAGAGGGUAGCCUCUCACCGCCUGCAGGUAGGGGGACAAGUCAUGACUGUUGUAUGCGCUUAUGCACCAAACAGCAGUGCAGAGUACCCACCCUUUUUGGAGUCCUUAGUAGUGCUGUAGAGAGCCCCCUCUGGCAACUCCAUCAUUCUACUGUGAGACUUCAAUGCACACAUAGGCAAUGACAGUGAGACCUGGAAGGGAGUGAUUGGGAUGAGUGACUAUGUCUCUUGGCUGGCUUGGGAAUGCCUCGGGAUCCCUCCGGAAGCAGUGGAAGAAGUGGCUGGGGAAAGGGAAGUCUGGGUAUCCCUCCCGAAGAUACGUCCCCGCGACCCAACCCGGAGAAGCGGUAGAAGAUGAAUGGAUGGAUGGAUGUUUACAGUUUUACUUGUUUUAAUUGCUGAAUUUAACAGCUUUUAUUGUUUAAUAAAGGAGCUACAGAACGCUCAUAUCCCAGCUCUUUAAGAGAGUUUGGUUAGCUGUUAAUUCUGUGUUCUACACUGAGCACAUUAGCACAUAGAAAGAACAGUCCAAUACCUGUUCUGUCAUAACCAGGACUUGCCGACGGACCCAAAUGCACGACUCGGGUGAUAGGCAAGUAGUAAGGAGGAAGUCUUUAUUCGUUCCAGAGUCGGUAACCGGGGAGUCAGUCAGCACAAACGGCAGAAACAGUAGUGACAGGCUUACAGGGUAGGUCGGGAGACAGGGUUGGUCGGUACACAGAGGGUUGGCGUCAGCAAUGCGAAAGUGCGGGAACGAGGCAUGCGAGGUGACGAUCUGACGAAGACCAGUCGUCCCCUGGGUCCUAUAGGUGCAGGGGUUAAUCAGCGGGGAUGAGGCGCAGGUGUGCGCCUCCUAAUUAGCGCCGAUCUGCUGGGACCCGCCCAGCCAGGGCUGGAACGGCAGGACCAUGACAUGUUCAAGCUCCUGCAAUAGACCUCUUGUCCACUGUGAGCAUCAGAGCCCCCAGCCACCCAAGGAAACCCAGUUAUGGCUGUCCUCACCAUCGGGAUGAGCGUGAAGUUAGGCUACAGCUACACAAUAUGGAAAACGCACAUCACGGUAUACUCCAAAGUGACAUUCUUAAAUUGCAGUACAUCCUAGUUGAAAUUAAUUAGUGAAUUUAAUAUGAAUUUGUCACCAUUUUCUGACUAAUAUAUGAUCUUGUCAUAAUGAGCCAUUUAACCAGCAAAUCACAAAUUGGAUAUUUACAUUAAUAAAAUCAUGACCUUCAUAAAUAUGAAUAUCAAUAAUUAUGCCCACUUGCAUUUAUUGUAUGUACUUCAUUGUCCGUUUCACCAGCUUGUAACCAAGCUCUUCACCUGUCGGCAGGGGAGGAGUACCAUACCCCUCACUUUCAAGUGAGCUCCCCGACUUCACUUGGUUGUAAGAGGAAUCCACUUCUUCUUCUUAGGCCUUUGCCUGGAAAUGGAAUACUUCUUUGUUCUCAUGCAUGCACAAAGCCAUGGGGUAAAAUGAAUGGGAAGGGGCUAAGGGGUAGAAUUGGGAUUGGCCUCAAGAUUUUUUGGAGUCAAGUCUGGUACAGGACCACAAGGCAUUCAAAAUUUGCUCUCAAGACCAAGACCAAGACCCAUCUCAAGUAAUAUAACACUCGUCACUCGUUUCUCAAGGCACCAAUGUAUCCACUUCACCUGAAGUGUGUUAUGUUAAAAUUUGAUUGUGAUUAUAAUGUUUAAGGAGUAAAGAACAGACACAGGAGAUUGUGACACUGGCAGAGUUAACAGUGCUGUCUGUGCCCGAGUAGACUUUUCAGUUUAGCAAACUUCCUCCCAGGGUCCUUGUCAGACAACGGGUAACGACACUGGACUAGUGGAAAAGUUUGUCAUUUUUUUCUAGCUCACUGUGGCACUUAGAAUGUGUGUUCUUAACGAGUUUGAAAAAAUUGCAUGCGUCCCGCUUUUGAAAACAGUUUCGUCAUUAAUGUCUUCGGUAACGUCCUUGAUAUCUCUACAUCUGGACAAAUAAAAAAAAAGUGUGUGUGA